UAGGCCUGGAUUUGAACAUCAAUCAUCCCAUUUAUCUAUCUUAAUUUAUAUUUUUCAAUUUCAAUAUUUUGUAUUUUGACAAUAAACUAUACAUAUUUUCAAUAUUAUUUUAGUGGGACAUGAAAAAUCUCAAACAUGAAAAUAUUUAAUAAAAUAUGAAGUAUAUUUCUCUUGAGAAUAUAUUCGUGAUUGUUUGACCGUUUAAAUUUAGUGGUGACCAUAAAAAAGUUUGAUCCCCAAUUAUGGUGGCCGAUGAAACAAUCACUACAAGAAAAAUAAUAUUUUUUUGGGUAAAAAUUACCCUGAAAAAAUGUUCAAAUCCGCCAAUAACUUUAAACUUUUUUGUCAAGUAGUCUAGUGGCUAUAAAAUCCACCUUAAAGUUAAAUAAGUGGAGUGUUUGGGAUUCGAACUCGGGCUCCUGCACAUAUAGUACGAUGUUCCUACCAACUGAACUAAACUCACUUGAAGAAUUUUAAGCUUAUUGGCAGAAUUAGUCUAUCAAUGAAUUCCAUCACAAAGUUCGCCAAUGAGAAAAUUUCCAUCAAACCAAACAUACAUCAUUUUUAAUCCUGAACUUUUCAUGCUCACUUGAGAAAUUACUGAUUAAUUUGAUAUCUAACAUAUUCUGUAGCUAUAGCCUAGGGCUAACAUGAAAUCCAACACUAUUAUUCCUCUUUUGUAAUUGUCCCUUUUUUGUCAUGAAAAGUUAUAAACUAAUAGAUAUUUUGUAAAAUAAGCAUGAAGUUUUAUGAUUGAUAAAUUUUUUUAUGUGACCUAUUUACUAAGUGUGCUAAAGAGCCAAAUAAAAUAUUUUGACAUAUUUAAAAAAUAUUUAAUAAUAAUUCUUGUUUUAGGAAGAUUUUCUUAUAACUCUAUAAUCCCUAGAAACUAUUUAAUGUAUAUAAGGAGAGAACGAGAUAUAGAAAUUAUAAAGUGCUAAAACCAUAUAAUAUUUCUUACAUAUUAAGUGUAAAAAAUAUGGCUAAUGUUAUCAAGUUUGUUUAUAGUAUGAUUAUCUUUGUAUCUCUAUUUCUUGUUGCAAUGAAAGUCGAUGCUAAUCAUUGUUAUCAAGAAUCUGAUUGUGUAUAUAUGUUAAGGGAUAUGUGCUUUCCUCCUCGUAAAUCAAUAUGUAAGUACUAUGAAUCGGUGCCUAAGUCCCUUGGUGGCAAAUGUAUUUGUAUAGAUUAAUGUAACAAUAAGAUUAUUAUGCUAGAAAUUUCAUGAUCUGUCAUUUUGUUAUAAUGUUGGCACCUAAUAAUUUGAAUUUCUUUCUUUUUCUAUUUUUAUGUCAUUCUAGUUAUGAAUUAUGUACUCAAAUAAUAUCAAUGAAAUGAAAUAAGAAGACAUCAAAUAAUAUUAUUUAUAUUUUA